UAGAUUACAAAGAUGUUAUGACACAAACACCAUCCUGUUUAUAAGAAUCAGGUUUUUUAAAGACUAAUUAACAUUAAUCAAAUCAAAAUAUUAAAAAGAAUUAAGAAUUUGACGAUUAAAAGAGUUAUCCAAUACUCUCAUCUUUUGCAAGCCUGGAUAAGUUUGAUAAUUUAUUGGGUUAAAAAUCAAAUAAAAUAGCAAAUGAUUAAUUGGUUAGAUUAGUAUAUAUGAUCUAAUUAAUUCAGUUCCAAACCAUAGCUAGUUUUGCUUUAAGUUAUGCCUGUAUAUUUGUUUAGAUGAUCAUUAGAAAAUUUUACAUAAAUUACACUCUAUUUACUUGUGGUCCGAAUGUGUGCUUAAAGGGAAUUUUGCAGCAUGAUGUAUGUAUGUCUGUAAAAACACUUACCUUGUUGGUAUACUUUGUAUCAAAUUUUCCAAUCUUGAUCCCAAUGUUUGGCAUUAAUCACGUAAGUUGGUGUUAGGUUUAUUCUAAUUAGAUUGGAAGUUUCUGGGUGCGGGGUAAGUUUCACUUGUUGAGGGAUUGACGAGGAGCAAGACAAGAAUACGAGAUCAAUGAUAUAUCUAAUAUAUCAAAUCUUAACGUGGUACGCGUAGUCAAAUGAUGAUUCCAUAUCAUGACAAAUCAUCUGAUUUUAUCAACGAAUAGUUUUUUCCUAUCUUCUUACCAUGCAUAAAUACUAGGGAUAGUUUGAUAUCAAAUAUCAUGAUUCGAGCUUGAUGGACUAAUUGAUUUAUCAAUUUUGUUUCAUCGAAAUUGUUGAUCAAAAUAUCUAAGCUUCAUUUUUAACGAGAGAGUAACCAGACAUAGACAUUCAAAAAGACUUCUUGUUUUAUAUUUGCUUUGAUAUUGUCAAUCAACUUUUUUCAUGUGAUUCGAGUGUUAGGUUUAUGCUGAUCAACUAAAGUAUCGGAAGGCUCCUCUUGGAGUCCUUGUUUGAUGAAUGAAGGGUUGGUGCAAAGCAUGGUGUAAUACAAAAAUGGGUACCAACCACUUUAUUCCUCCUGGUUUGAAGGACUACUUGUCUUGGCAGCACACUGUCACGGACUUAGCUGGUUUUGCCAAAGUCGUGCGGCACCCUUGCGUGUCCGUCCGCAAAGGUCAGCCUCCCCGAAACCUCCCACGGUCCCUUAGGACCUACAAAAGAGAAAACGGGUUAGAAAAACGCCUCACUCGGGAUCCACAAGCAAACAAUCCAGGAAACACUUUAUGGACAAUGCAAAUUACAAAGAGACUUUACAAGCUCAGAACAGUUGCACAACAAAUGUUAAAAAUGAUCCAUUACAGACCGAGAAUCUCUCACGUGUGUCCACAUAACACAACCUUUAUUUACAAGCCUACAAGGGGACUCUUAGCCUUCGGCAGUCCCUCUAUAUGCUGUGCAGAGCAUGAACAAACCAAAAGACACAGACAUACAUGAGCAUUGCAUCCAACAUCCUGUUUCGAAGUUUGUCCGUGACAUUCUCCCCCACUUAUUCCUUCGACGUCCUCGUCGAAGCCUUUGCCGACACUGCAACUCCUUGCCUUUGCUGAGUCUUCAAUCUCCUGCUCCAACUGCAAUGCACCUCCUGGCUCCCAGCUGCUCUCCGCUGUUGUUUUUGAGUAGUCGAACCUUUGAUCCGCCAUGCUGCUUCAACUCACCAAUGACUCUGACUCUAGUGUGGGGUUGGUUGAGUUGUGUUGAUCCUUGUUGGUUCCUGCGGAUCCUCCAAAUGAAGGAAAAGACCAUCCUUACUGUGCCAGUCUCUCAAAAUUCCACAUGCUGCUUGAAUUGGGUGGAUGCUUGUUGGAGCUUUAACGAGCAUCCUUUCGCAAACUUCUGAAGUUUUGGGUCCUUCCUCCACAAAAUUUGUCCAUUGACUCUUUUUUCGUUUAGUUGUCACCUCCAUGUAGGUUCGCAACACUUCCGCUUUCGAUUGGCAUUUCGUUGGGAAAUGAAGCGGACAAUCUACUCUCAGUAGCACUGAUCACCGUUGGUGAGGAUUUGACAACUAUUGUCUUCCAUUAUCUUCGAAGGGUCUUUGAACUUGUGUAGAGCUCCUCUGCUGGAUAGAUAAGAGAAUUGGGGUACUCGGUUUUGCCCAUUCUCUUAAUAGUUGAGAAGGCAAAGGUUACUUGACUUCGCCCGCCUCCUCGAGGUUGUACUCCAUGCAUCGAGCUGGUUACUAGCCUUCGCCUGCUCUUUGCUCACACUUCUGAAGCACUUGAAGUGUUUGCACUCCUUGCAUUGAGUUAGUUACUGUGAUUCACCUUCUCAAUGCCAUUGAACUUCUGGAAUGCCGGAAGUUUUCACCCCAACUUGGAGUAGUUCAUUGAUAGAUUUGGUCGCCCCUGGGAAUGUACCGUCUUCUCCAUCAACCCUGCCGCCUACUCCACUGAGUAGCAAAGGUACAGCACCGCGUACUGUCUGCUUCGUUCCUUGGUCGUGCACUCUUGCAUGACCCGAAGUCCUUCUCUUUCGGCUAUCUUGAUGAGAAGCUUGUUGACACCGGUCUUACGAAGUUCCUUGGCCUCGCCCUUCAGCCUUGUCUCAGUACAUGGAGUUUGCCUCUGCGUACUCCAUCUCCUCGGCCCCUUUCACGACCAAGCGCUCUCCCUCCAUGAGAGCAAGGGAUCAAUGACUUUCACGAAAGUCCCGCCUCUGCGGUACCAUGGCGCUGCCAUGCCCAUGGCCCUACUAUCCAUCGCCUCGCAUCUGCAUCCUUUUUCUUCACAAUCAGUAGAUAUGUCUCUGUGGCACUCCUCCGAGUCCACCUCCAUUCUAACUGAUGCUUGAUUUUGGGUAGCUAAGUCCCUCUGGACUCGUCGUCGCUUCCUCGCCCUUUUUCGACCCCCUGCUUCAACACCUCUGGGUUCUCCAAGCAGAUCUCUUUGGUCGACGGAAAGACAGACUGCAACCCCCAUGCAUGGCCUCUGCCAUCACGUUGUAGGAUUUGCACCGAUUCUGUUCUCCUUAGCUUCCUUGGUAACAACGUUCGCUUACUCGACCUUGUCCUCUGACUUGUCGGGCUCCCUUAAGCGAAUAUAGUUCUGGAGCAGUCCAACUCUCCAGCUGCUUCGAUCAUAACUCUGCAUGAUCAAGUCCCUCCCAUGGGACUCACUGGUCCUUACAUUCGAACUUCUCCCUUGGUGGAACACAGCCCCCAUAUGCUGAUGACCAAGGCUUUCACCCGAUGCAAAAUUCGAUGCACGCACGGAAGACCCGCCUCUGCGGUACCAUGGCCUUCACUCCUUGAAUCCAUAGCCCUUCUUGCCGUCGUGUUGUUCACCGAAGUGGAGCUUCCAGUAGCUCCUGAUCAUACCUCCAUAUGAUCAAGUCCCUCACGGGGUGCUGUGUGUAUCGUAUUGCCGCGAACUAUUCCACCACGAUCCACUGCACCAUGUUGCCUCCUAGUGACAUCUCCAUUGCAUUCUGAUCCUUGUGGGGUGAACUCGAAUUGUGAACCCUCCAUGUGUGGCCUCUGCCAAUACAUCGCAGGGUCUCCUCCACUUUCGACUUUGUUCGCUCCUUUGGCAAUCGACCUUCAUCCACCCACUCUUGGGUCACACUUAGAUGAAGCACCGCUCUAGGACAGUCCAUCGCCUAGUAGCUCCCGAAGUCCACCGACUUCGCUGAAAAUGGUGCACCAUUGUCUGGAUCCUGGGUCUCUGCCCCUACCAACACAAUCUCCGCUGCGCACCGCUUCCUUCAAGCAACUUGAAUAGAAACACUGUGGCAUAUUCUUCAAGAGUACCCGCCUUCGCGUCCUCUUGCCCCGUGCCAAGGCCUUCUGAACCCAAGUUCGCCUCUGCGAGUUGAGUCGCCUUAGUUCCUUCGCCAAAUGCUUCUCUGAGAUAAGGUGCAUGUGCCCAGAAGCUCCCUUCAUCUUUGGCACCAUGCAAGGUGAGUCCACUCCAACAGAAAGAAGGACCCAUGGAACAACAUGAUUCUGCUCUUGCCUCUGCAAGAGUUCAUGUCCUUGACCUCUGUCCAGGGAAAGCUCUGCGCCUCCGCUCCAUGUUCCAUCUUCUAUGCCGACUCACUUCAUACGGCUUGGGUACUUCGCCAAGUCACACCCAAGUUGCUCCGCUCCUCGUUUUUGUAUUGCGUUGAUGGUGGCCCUCGCGCCCACCAUUCCACGGGUCAGCCCUCCCUUGAGUCCGAUCUCCAUAUCGACUCCAAGUGUGCCUUCAUUUGUGUUGCUUUUGGUCGCUCCCCCACUUGAUCUCGCAAUGCAUCCACCAAUGCAUUCUCUCAAGCGAGAUCAUGCGACGACUCCUCGCCGCUCGCUCAGUCUGUUGAGCUUCAUGAAGUUGUUGAAGGACUCCUCCUCAACAUGUGCGGUCCGUUGCACAUGAUUCUCCCUCUGGAGAGCCGGGACUUAUCCCUCCUGGAUAUCUAUCCCGUUGGAGCAACAUCUCUCUUCAAUUCGGAGACCACCAUCCCCUUGGACUACUCCGAUUUGCCGAACAAACUGUGCAUUGUUCUGCCUCCUGCAAACGCAUUUGCUAGAUUGCGACUCCACGUCAAUACAGCCACCGCUGCACCACUCAAGGCCUAGCAACAUGCUGAACUCGCUGUACACUUCAGCCUCCUACGGACGUAUCCUUUGCAUGCCGAAGAGAAUGUUCCAAUGCUCCAUGGUGCCGAGCUCCGGUCGCUUUGGGAUGGCCACGAACAGUCCGUCGUCCGUAUACAAGCCCUUGCAUGAGUACCGAAUUCUUUGAGUUAGCAAUUCCCCUCACCUCUGUGAGCUUUGCAUAACUCUUUCGGUCGCCGAACAACCCAUUCCACCUUACAUGGUCUCGACUUUUGCCAAGCGCCUCGCUUGCUUUGAGCACCAUCAAGUGUUGUUGUCAACGUUGAGCCGUAACUCAAACUCAGCCAUCCCAACAUUUGUGCGCUCCACAUUCUUCCCAGCUUGCUUGUCCUCGUGGUGCCUUUGGCACGAAGGGUUGGCCAUUCCUCUGAAUGCCAAUCUCAGAUGCCCGCUCCUCUGAGCGACUCCUUUUCCCUACAUCUCAAUGUCCGUUUUCCCCAAAACGGUCGCGCGUGCUAGCUGCCCUCAACGCAGCCCCACUAGGUCCCCCACGUUUGCAUGUCAAGUGUUUCUAUGAGUGCUUGUCCCGCUCUGAUACCAUCUGUCACGGACUUAGCUGGUUUUGCCUAAGUCAUGCGGCACCCUUGCGUGUCCGUCUGCAAAGGUCAGCCUCCCCGAAACCUCUCACGGUCCCUUAGGACCUACAAAAGAGAAAACGAGUUAGAAAAACGCCUCACUCGGGAUCCACAAGCAAACAAUCCAGGAAACACUUCAUGGACAAUGCAAAUUACAAAGAGACUUUACAAGCUCAGAACAGUUGCACAACAAAGGUUAAAGAUGAUCCAUUACAGACCGAGAAUCUCUCACGCGUGUUCACAUGACACAACCUUUAUUUACAAGCCUACAAUGGGACUCUUAGCCUUCGGCAGUCCCUCUACAUGCUGUGCAGAGCAUGAACAAACCAAAAGACACGGACAUACAUGAGCAUUGCAUCCAACAUCCUGUUUCGAAGUUUGUCCGUGACAACACGGAGGAUGGACUUGUUAUUUAAUUCCACAAGAUAAUGCAGGUGUGUUUGUCUUCAUUACACGUUGGCCUCUUUAUGUUAUU
rnacentral:lncRNA from 1 species